rnacentral:rRNA from 1 species
AGAGUUUGAUCCUGGCUCAGAUUGAACGCUGGCGGCAUGCCUUACACAUGCAAGUCGAACGGUAACGGGUCCUUCGGGAUGCCGACGAGUGGCGAACGGGUGAGUAAUAUAUCGGAACGUGCCCAGUAGUGGGGGAUAACUGCUCGAAAGAGCAGCUAAUACCGCAUACGACCUNNNNNNNNNNNNNNNNNNNNNNNNNNNNUUUCGGUAUAGGAGGGGCCUACGGCCUAUCAGCUAGUUGGCGAGAUAAAAGCUCACCAAGGCUAUGACGGGUAGCUGGUCUGAGAGGACGACCAGCCUCGCUGGGACUGAGACACGGCCCAGACUCCUACGGGAGGCAGCAGUGAGGAAUUUUCCACAAUGGACGAAAGUCUGAUGGAGCAAUACCGCGUGCAGGAUGAAGGCCUUCGGGUCGUAAACUGCUUUUUAUAAGGAGCAACUAUGAGUUUACUUAUAGAAUAAGUCACGGCUAAUCACGUGCCAGCAGCCGCGGUAAUACGUGAGUGGCAAGCGUUAUCCGGAAUCAUUGGGCGUAAAGCGUCCGUAGGGGGAUAUUCAAGUGAAAUGUUAAAUCCUUCGACCCAAUCGAAGCCCUGCAUUUCAUACUGUUUAUCUAGAAGAUAGGAGAGGUAAAUAGAAUUUCCGGAGUAGGGGUAAUAUCCGUAGAGACCGGAAGGAAUACCAAUAGCGAAGGCAAUUUACUGGCCUAUUCUUGACCCUUAAGUGACGAAAGCGUGGGGAGCAAACAGGAUUAGAUACCCUGGUAGUCCACGCCCUAAACAAUGGAUACUCGACGUUCGGAGGAAUCGACCCCUCUGAGUGUCUAAGUUAACACAUUAAGUAUCCCGCCUGGGAAGUACGAUCGCAAGAUUAAAACUCAAAGAAAUUGACGGGGAUCCACACAAGCGGUGGAGCAUGUGGUUUAAUUCGAUGGUAAGCGAAGAACCUUACCAAGGUUUGACAUCCUACUAACGCCCUGGAAACAGGGAAGUGCCCGAAAGGGAAAGUAGAGACAGACGUUGCAUGGUUGUCGUCAGCUCGUGUCGUGAGAUGUCGGGUUAAGUCCCUAAACGAGCGCAACCCUCGGGCUGUGUUGUAUUUCUCACAGCCGACUGCCAGCGUAAGCUGGAGGAAGGUGGGGAUGACGUCAAAUCAGCAUGACUCUUACACCUUGGGCGACACA